GCCUGGUGAGACCCUAGGCGCCCGAGUUCUGGGAGCGGCCCCCUUUUUUUCUGGGGGGUUGCGCGGCGCGAUGUCAGGACAGGCCUCGGCAGGAGCGCGGCCCUCUUGAGAUGCUGCGGAGGACCGGCUGCCCAGUUUCAUGGCUUCUCCAACAGCGUCGAGCUAGGGUCGUGCGCUUGCCCGCGGUGGAGUCGGGCGGAGUAACAGGGCGGUCUUCGGGUCCCGAGGCCCAGGUGGCCGGAGAAGUAGGCUCGAUCCUAACCAUCCAGACGCUGCAGUUUUGUUUCUGAUCCUCAGAACUGGGGCCUGAUUCCCUGGAGAGACUGAGGCUUCCGAGAUGAGUUUCCAGUGCCGAGCAAUACAGCUGUAUAUAGCUAAAAGGGGAAGAAACCAGUAAUGAGAAAGGAGCUGAAGAAACAAGAGCAGAGAGAGAUUAACUGAUGGAGCAAAACGUUGAAGAAUGAAGGAGUGACAAGGACAAGGUGGUCUUGACCAAGAGGCAGUACACCUCAUCCUCCUAAAAAGGAGAUACUGAUAGGGUCAAGAUCAUCUGCUGA